GGUCGCAGUGACACCCCACAGGGAUGUGGAAGAUGCCACUCCACAGUUGCCUGGGGUUGGAAGGUCUGUCUAGAUUGGUCCUGACCCAGUCGCAGUUCCCUGGGAAUCGGAAACUCUCCAUCCUGCCUCCUGGAGACCCUCUGGUUUGCAAGAAGAGGCCUGGCAAAACUAUGGAUCAGGUUUUUGGUGUCCCGAACAAAGAACUGGACAACACACACACAAAAGGCAGUGAAAGUGCACAUAAGCAAGGCAGAAGAGAAAUAACUGCAGAAUGAGGAUGCUCCAGUAAAAGGCUCACGGGGCCUGAGGAUAAGGGAAAGGGAUCUUUUGUAUGCAAAUUCCCAGGUUACCUCUCUUUCAUGCAAAUGAGGCAUUGGCAAGGUCCCCCCUGGCAACCCCUCCCUUGGUGUCAGCCACACAUCAACUGUCCCAUCAUUUGGCUUCCUGCCUUAUAUAAAUGAAGGACCAGGAUUAUUGUCUUUUGAUUGGCUGUGGCCACAUGCAAAUAAAGGAUUGAAAAUAGCAUGUUUCUGGUCCAAAAUCACACUUUUUAGAUCGGCUCUGUGCAGUGAUGAUGGGUCGCUGUGUUAGAAGUGUCCCUCCCUCCCCCUGGAGAAUCCCUGACCCUGUUGCUCUGUCUUACCAGUGUCCCCUUCAAGGGCAAACUCCCAGUUUCCUAAUGUCCUGCCACCAGGUCCACCUCCUAUGUGUCCCACUGACUUCUGAUGUCACCACAGGCUGGUGACCAAGCCUCAGCACCUGGGCCUGCAACCCUGACAUGUGACACCUUGAGCUUCAGCCUGCAGAUGUGCUGGGAUAGGUGACCCAUGCUUCACAAGAGCCACCGGGCCAUUGCCACUUGGAGGUGUGUCCUUGCUUUCAUCUGCUCAGAAUCCAACAUGGACCUCCAGAUGUCUGGGACUUGUGUGGACGAGAACGGUGACAAGUUCACUGGUCUGAGUUAGGAAGUGCUCAGUGGGAACGGAGGACCAAGGACAAGCGUAGGAGGACCCUGGUAGACACAGGCACACUGCCGCAGUGUGC
rnacentral:lncRNA from 1 species